rnacentral:rRNA from 1 species
UGGGGAAUAUUGCACAAUGGGCGCAAGCCUGAUGCAGCAAUGCCGCGUGAGUGAAGACGGCCUUAGGGUUGUAAAACUCUUUCGCUAGGGAAGAUAAUGACGGUACCUAGUAAAGAAGUCCCGGCUAACUCCGUGCCAGCAGCCGCGGUAAUACGGAGGGGAACUAGCGUUGUUCGGAAUUACUGGGCGUAAAGAGUUCGUAGGCGGACUAGCAAGUUAGAGGUGAAAAUCCCAGGGCUCAAGCCUUGGAAACUGCCUUUGAUACUGUCAGUCUUGAGUCCGGAAGAGGCGAGUGGAAUACCGAGUGUAGAGGUGAAAUUCGUAGAUAUUUGGAGGAACACCAGUGGCGAAGGCGGCUCACUGGCUCGAUACUGACGCUGAGGUGCGAAAGUGU